rnacentral:lncRNA from 1 species
ACCCCACCACCCUCUGCCUCCGCGGAGACACUGCAGGGGCCCAGGCAUCGGAGACAUCCCUCGCGGCGUGGGCACCAGGCCCAGGCGCCCAGGGGAGUCGGGCCCGGGAAGGGGGUGGGGAAGGGCAGAGAAGGGGGUAUCAGGAAGAGGGGUGCUGGGAAGAGGGCUCCCCUCGCCAGCGGCAACCCCCACCCCCCGCCCCGUAUUGCCGCGCACUCAGAGCCGCGCCAAGGGCGCCCCUCAACCCCGAAGCACAGGCACGUUUCAGAGGAAAGAAAGAAAAAAGUUUCGACUGGCUCGAAUUUCUGGAAGCUAGAGCAUUUUUGGCCCCAAACACCGGCAGAGAACCCCUCUGAGCGCUGCCCCGGCCUCGCCGUUACCCAUUUUCGGUUUGGUUUUGGAAGAACCGGUUCCUCGGCCCCGCGUCGCCGAAGUUGUGACCCGAGUGCCGGGCUGUUGGAACCCUUUGAAGCAGUGUGUAGCUAAUAGCCCAUAUAUAAUUCAGAAGAAGAAAUCUUCAAUGGAAGACCCCCGGGGGAUAAAUGGACAGUCUGAAUUGGAAAUGCUAACAACAGUUUUUGCUGAGAUGCUGGAUUUUGCAAGAAAACCAUGAACUAAAAUAUCCAAGCUUUUGUACAGAAGUUGUGGGUAUUUGCCGACUCCAUUUCCUGACUUGUCACUCAUUCCAGAUGCUAAGAGUUUCUAGCUGUGGUUACCAGUGGACUUCAUAUUGCAAAUCCCGUGGACACUUUUCAGACCUUAACUUACCUGAUCACUUUGCUGUAUGACCUUGAGGAUCCCUGGCACCAUGAUGGAAUAGAAAUUUAUUCCAGUCUUUAAAAUAUGGCAGGUCUAGGUUUGAAUCCCAACGGUCUUAAUUCCAGAGUGACCUUGAGCAAGAUAUUUUGCCUUUUGGGGUUGUUUAGUUUUCUUGACUGGAAUAUGAGUUCAGUAUAAAGUUGACUAGUUUUGGGGAUUAUGGAAAAUGUGUACAGGUUAGCACAGUUCCUGGCAUGGACUAGCUGUCUGUACAGUACUGUUCCCUUCUUAAACCCUUGUCCCAUAAUCUAUCAAUUCUUCCACUUCUCUGAUGAUUCUUCAUGUGUCUUAGGUCAUGGUGUGGCUCUAGGCUUCCAUGUUUGGCUCUUUUUCUUCUCAUUAUACACUCACCCUAAAUGUUUUCUACUGCUCUCCUGCUUUAACCACAACUUGGUUUCUACAAAUUUUCAAAAGUAUAUUUCCAGGAGUUUCCAUCAUGGCUCAGCAGAAACAAAUCUGACUAGUAUCCAUGAGGAUGCAGGUUCGAUGCCUGGUCUCACUCAGUGGGUUAAGAAUCCAGCGUUGCCAUGAGCUGUGGUGUAGAUCACAGACGUGGCUCAGAUCUGGCAUUGCUGUGGCUCUGGUGUAGGAUAGUGGCUGCAUCUCUGAUUCAACCCCUAACCUGGGAACCUCCAUAUGCCGCCUCUGUGGCCCUAAAAAGCAAAAUCAAUCAAUCUAUCUAUCUAUCUAUCUAUCUAUCUAUCUAUCUAUCUAUCUAUCUAUCACAUCAUUUUCUUUGGUUGCCUAUUAGAUGAUAAGCUCUCUGAGGGCAGGGAACAUGCCUCAUUCAUUGUAUGCUCAGCACUUGGCACAAUUUGGACCAUAAGAUGUUUAUUGACAUGAAUUGAACUAACUCCCAUCUGCCUAAUAAAAUCCACAGCUAGAACCAUUUCACAAAGCUGUUAGUAAGAUGAUACUACAUGAUUUGAUUCAUCACGAAAAUUUCUGUAUACAGUUAUUUUUUUGACCCCUUAUAUCAGAUCAAAAAAUAGAAGGUUACAUCUCUUCCUUUUUAAAAUUCCUUAUCCUUGGCUUCUCGUCAACAUUGACUUAUGUUGACUUAAGCAGGCAAUUUCUUUUUCCAUAUUCAUUCAGUAGCUCUCUAACAUUCUAAUUAUGUUGAUAUCAUCUUAUUUUUUCCCUAAAUUUGCCUAGGACUUAGGUUAUAGCCAAGGAGGAAAACAGUCUUCCCUACUCAUCUGACUUUGGGGUCCACCAAUCUGCGUGUUGGCACAGAAAACUAAGUCAGCGAUUGUAAACUUAAGGCCCACAAAUGCUGAUUUCUCUAGAUAACGUUGGUCCACGCACUGCUUAAAAAAUUACUCUUAAUUGUAACAUUUAAAGAUUAGAAACUUUUGUGUGAAAAAAAAAAUACACAUUUCUGGCUUCUCUCAAAAACUCGGAAGAUCUAAUGACAGUGAAUCCCUAUUCCUUGCCUGACAACAACCCCCUUGGGGGUUAGCGAAUGAUGCAUUCUUGAGGACUUGCUCUGCACCCUGCCCUCUCCCCCUUCUUCUUACUCACAUACUGGUUCCUGAAGGCAUUGUAGUUUGCCACCUGUGUCAUAAGAAUGGACCCUGUUGCUGAACUUAGAUGCAUGGGAGUCUAAGAUUUGUGAGGCUCAGAGAUUCUGAAAAUGGUAAAAUUAAAGAAACUAAAGACAUGUGAUGGAAGAGUUCUCUUGUGGCCGAGGGGGUUCAGGAUCUGGUAUUGUCACUGUAGCCACUUGGGUUGCUGCUGUAGUGUGGGUUUGAUCCCUGGCCCAGGAACUUCCACGUGCUGUGGCAGUGGCCAAACAUAAAAAGUUUUUAAAAAAGAAGAAGUGUGAUGGAAUAAUUUGCCCUGAUUGAGAGAAUUAACGUAAUUGGAAAAAAGAACCAUCCUUUUUUUUUUUUUUUGCUUUUUAGGGUCGCACUUGUGGCACGUGGAAGUUCCCAGGCUAGGAUUUGAAUCAGAGCUGCAACCACCAGCCUACACCACACCACAGCAACAUGGGAUCCAAGCCAUGUCUGUGACCUACCACAGCUCAUGGCAACUCCAUAUCCUUAACCCACUGAGUGAGGCCAGGGAUCAAACCCACAUCCUUAUGGAUGCUAGUUGGGAUCAUACCCUGCUGAGCCACAAUAGGAAUUCCCAGAAACAUCUUUCUAAGAGGUGUGAGAGUAAUACAGUUUUCUCUUACAAAACCAAAGCAAGCAGGAGUGUGCUCUAUAGCUACCUAAAUGGUAAAGUUGGAUACAAAUUUUCAAAGCAUUAAAUGGGAAUUUAUCCACCUGAUCUCUAUUAAUAUUAAUAAGAACCACACUUCUCAGUGUUCUGAAUAUUCCUCUUAGGUGUUUCUCUAUGAAUAUUUAUGCAAUCAGAAAUAAACUGUACAGCCCAGUAUAACCCAGACAUAUUAUUCAAUUAUAGAAGAGUUUCCAAUUUUUCUAAAUUCCAUUUCAACUAUAUUCACUUAGAAGUAUUUUAUUUAUUUAUUUUUUGGCCAUGCCUGUGGCACAUGGAAGUUCCCAGGUCAGAGAUCGAACCCAUGCCACAGCAGUGACCUGAGCUGCUGCAGUGACAACAGUGGAUCCUUAACCCACUGAGCCACAAGGGAACUCACUAAAUGUCGCUUCUGACGCUCCCUCCUUGUCUUUAACCUCCCUGAACCUCAGUUUCUUCAUCCAUAGAACAGGUAUGUUUUCUGAUCUUUCUUGUUUCAGGAUUGUUGUGGCCUUUAAUGAGGUUGCAUGGGGGAAAGUACCUUAUGAAUAAAAUAAAGCAUAUGUAAAGUCAAGGUUUUGCUAUAUAGCUAGUAGCUACUGUAAUAGGUAAAAUGUUUUGAUGCUCAUUUUCUUAAUUCUUUUCUUCCCCUGUACCUACAUUUCUCCCAGUUUCUGUCUUCCGUGAUAACUUUCAUGAGAUUGACCUUAUUCUCUUAGGGUGAGAGGUUGUUCUUUCAUAGUGAGGCCUAGGUCCCUCUGCUUGAUCACUUGCGCAUGGCCUAGCUGCUGGAGAACAUGUUUCUAGUCACUCAUUUCAAUUAAAUAAUCAUUCUGAAUUUACUUCUUUAUUAGAAAAUAAGGGCUAGAGUUCACAUUGUGGCUCAGCAGUUGAGAACCUGACACAGUGUCCAUAAGGAUGCACGUUCGGUCCCUGGCCUUGCUCAGUGGGUUAAGGAUCCAGUUGCUGCAAGCUGCAGAUGUGGCUCAGAUCUGGCGCUGCUGUGGCUGUGGCUAUGGCCAGCUGCUGCAGCUCUGAUUUGACCUCUAGCCUGGGAAUUUCCAUAUGCCCCAGGUGUGCCUCCCCCCU